rnacentral:rRNA from 1 species
UACGGGGGGGGCAAGCGUUGUUCGGAAUUACAGGGCGUAAAGGGCUCGUAGGUGGCCAACUAAGUCAGACGUGAAAUCCCUCGGCUUAACCGGGGAACUGCGUCUGAUACUGGAUGGCUUGAGUGUGGGAGAGGGAUGCGGAAUUCCAGGUGUAGCGGUGAAAUGCGUAGAGAUCCGGAGGAACACCAGAGGCGAAGGCGGCCUACUGGGCUGCACCUGACGCUGAGCCGCGAAAGCCAGGGGAGCGAACGGG